rnacentral:rRNA from 1 species
UACGUAGGGCGCAAGCGUUGUCCGGAAUUAUUGGGCGUAAAGAGCGCGCAGGCGGUCGUUCAAGUCGCGUGUGAAAGCCCCCGGCUCAACUGGGGAGGGUCACGCGAUACUGAUCGACUCGAAGGCAGGAGAGGGUAGUGGAAUUCCCGGUGUAGUGGUGAAAUGCGUAGAUAUCGGGAGGAACACCAGUGGCGAAGGCGGCUUCCUGGCCCAAUACUGACACUCAGGUGCGACAGCGUGGGGAGCAAACAGG